rnacentral:misc_RNA from 1 species
GUGUCACGUAAAAUAAAAAGCAGGAGGCUCGAACGAAAAGAAAAAAAUUAAGCCGUGACUUUCCAAGACUGAAGCUCUUACAAUUUGACUUUCGGACAUUCGGUGGAAGGACCGUUAGGAUACAGAUGACUCAUUAGGCACUUCGGCGAUAUACAUUGUCGCCAAGGCCGCCACAUCUCUAUCUCCAUCAUCGGUCCAUCGGAUUUGAAGUAUGCCGGUCGUGACACUCGC